rnacentral:rRNA from 1 species
AUUGAACGCUGGCGGCAGGCCUAACACAUGCAAGUCGAACGAGUGGCGGACGGGUGAGUAAUGUCUGGGAAACUGCCCGAUGGAGGGGGAUAACUACUGGAAACGGUAGCUAAUACCGCAUACCAUCGGAUGUGCCUAGAUGGGAUUAGCUAGUAGGUGGGGUAACGGCUCACCUAGGCGACGAUCCCUAGCUGGUCUGAGAGGAUGACAAUCCACACUGGAACUGAGACACAGUGCAGACUCCUACGGGAGGCAGCAGUGGGGAAUAUUGCACAAUGGGCGCAAUCCUGAUGCAGCCAUGCAGCGUGUAUGAAGAGGACCGUCGGGUUGUAAAGUACUUUCAGCUAGGAGGCGUUACUCGCAGAAGAAGCACCGGCUAACUCCGUGCCAGCAGCCGCGGUAAUUC